AAAUAAUUACCGCCGGGUAACGUCUCACCCCAUUCCGUUAGGCCAUAGAAGGAAUGGUGGUAGGGCGUUUAUUUUU
rnacentral:ncRNA from 1 species